AGAGCAGAGAGGGUUUUAAAGGCACUUUGCACGUAAGUACUCAUGAAACAACAUUGUUAUUCUCACACAGCAGGCAUAAGCAGAAGAAACAGAGACAUAACAACUUAGCAAUGCAAAAUGAGCUCCAGGCAUCAGGUAAGCCAAAAAGAAGCUAUCAAAUUAUCUUCACCUUCAGCCCCUGCAAACUGGGAUCAAGAGUGGUGGAAGAUCUUCUGUUGACAAGUUCCCUCGCACAACCAGUGCUGCAAAAAGCUGUCAAUAAGAGCUUACCCUGUGCUAUGAGUUGGAUUGAGGGAAGUGAUGGCAUGGUGGGAAUACGUGCUAUCAUGGAGAUAUGA
rnacentral:lncRNA from 1 species